GGGAGGUCUCUUUGUCCAGAAUUGCUGAAAAAGAAAUAGAAUCCAGAUACCAAAACAACUUAAUUGCAGGAUUUUAGUUUACUUUCUUUGGAGUAGCCAAAUUGUUAAACUAACAGGACUAAAACAGCACUGUUGAUGGCAGGACAAAUCACUUUAAAUCUGGUUACAAAGAAAGAAUGGGGAUGAGAAAAAUUGAAGCACAGAAAAAAAAUAUGUUUGGAAACUGAUUGGAGCCUGGUCUUUUGAGUUGUUGUCAGAUUUUAGGAUACUGUGUUCAACUGUUCUGCUAUAUGCCCUGUCUGCUCUAUCAGGUGUCUUGAUACAAUAUCUAUCAUUAACUGUAGCGGGCUGAGUAUCUGUGUGGGGCAAAAAUGUCCUAAAAGAAGGGUAGGUAAGGAAAAUGUAUCUCUAGUUAUCAAUACUGUUUCAGUGUUUUAGUCCAGCGCAAACUUCUGUGCUGUUUAAAAUGCUGGGAUAAUAGCAGACAUUACCCAAACACUGAAAAAUUGUUUUCAGCCUCUGUUUUGGAUUAGCAGCCAACAUCCAGCUGAGUGAACAUGUCAGCAGAGGUUGGAGGUAAAGUGGUCACCCGGAGACACCUUUGUACCUUCAUGUUGACAGCCUGAGGGGAUCAUCUCCUCCUUAAGCUUGGUCUAUAUCCAAGAAUUAAGAGUGAGGUGUUAAUGAGGAAUCUGAGUUUGGAAAUACUUGAUUUUCUGACACUUUCUUCCAGAGUCAUUGGUGGAAGAGUCAUCCAGAAGCCCCAUGUCAAGCUGAGUAGGACAGUGCUGAAAAGGAGUCCCCUGGGAACCCUUCACAUACUGUGUUUUGGAAGCCUUUAAAAGAUGAAGAACAAGUACUGCAGGGAUUUAACCAGGACUCAGACCUGAGAUACGUUGAGAAGACUGCUCAAAGUCAAUAAGCACGCAGUGAGAAACCUUUUCAUGCCAAAUUUGUGCCCUCCAGCCCAGCUGUUUCAGUUCAAAUGUCUUUGGAAUAAGUUCACAACAGCAACUCUCUUCAUGAAGAAAAGGAACUCGGUCAGAAUGUCCUUGCAGAGGAGCUUGUUCUGGAGGAAUGCUGCCUGCCACCUGCCUUCCAAGGAACUGCCAGCUUUGCCUGGAGAAAAUAGCCCAUCUGCUAAGUUAUACAGCUCUUUCAUUCUUCAGCCCAGGUUACUGGUGAAGACUUUAUAUAUACAGCCGCAUUUUUAAUACUUCCAGCUGUCUGUUUUUCCUGUGAAAGGAAAUCCCUGGAUAGUGGCACAACAAUCCUGAAGGUAUGCCCAGAUUUGCUUCUGAUAUUCAAACACAGCAGUGGGGGCGAAGUCUCCUGCCAGUCUCAGCUCUGCUGACCUUCUGUGAUGCAUCUCCUCUCCCCCUCAGCACAGGUAUGCCUACUAACACGGUGCUGACAGUGAACUCUGAGCGAGUUUCAUCUGUUGCAAGAGGAGAAUAAGGAAGGCAAAGUGCACAAUUAUUUCCUAUUUUGCUUAAGAUAUAGGAAAGAUCAGCAGAAAAGUUAUUGGAAUAGCCCAUAUGAUCUUCUGAAAAGCCUUCUGUGAAAUUUCAUCCAUAAACAAUCCUCCAGAAUAUUUCUGUCUACCUCUUGUCUAUCUUUUAACCUUGCCAUAUCCACAGGGCAGCUUUUCCCAGUUUAUGACAUUCUGGGAAGGAUUCAAGACUAGGAAACCUAUUAGACCUUGUUGUUUUCUGGGUGCUUGGCUACCUCUUUGUUCACCAUCUUUAAAGUAAGAGUUUUAACUUGUGUUAGCAUGCUACAUUGCUUCGAGUUUAGGUAGUGUAAUGGUGGCUGUCAUAUGCUGCCAUACUAAGAUCCAUGGCAAAACAUGGAGGUUGCAUCUAGAUGCCUGCCCAUUGCUGGAACACCUCAUUAACUUUAGAAAAAUGUUAAAUAUUGAUCAAAGUGUGUUUUAUCAGACAUAGUGUGUUGAAUCAGUCAGAUGUUGAAAUUCCUCAGAGACUUCACCUUAUCAGUGUCAUCUCUGAAGUUCUCUAGAAAUAUAGUGGAGCUACUUGGGACCUGUGAUUUGUGCUUGGUGGGUAGGUGGUUUUGGCAUCACACAAUGAGCCUGAACAGGAGGGAAGAGAUGCUGAGAUUUUGUCAUUGGAGCUAGAGCUCCUGGGACCAGGCCGUAAGGAUGCUCCAAG
rnacentral:lncRNA from 1 species